CAGUAGCCACGGUAAUACGAAGGGGCUAGCGUUGUUCGGAUUUACUGGGCGUAAAGCGCACGUAGGCGGAUCGAUCAGUCAGGGGUGAAAUCCUGGAGCUCAACUCCAGAACUGCCUUUGAUACUGACGAUCUCGAGUCCGGAAGAGGUGAGUGGAACUCCUAGUGUAGAGGUGGAAUUCGUAGAUAUUAGGAAGAACACCAGUGGCGAAGGCGGCUCACUGGUCCGGUACUGACGCUGAGGUGCGAAAGCGUGGGGAGCAAACAGGAUUAGAUACCCGUGUAGUCCCUGUCUCUUAUACC
rnacentral:rRNA from 1 species